AGUGAACGCUGGCGGUAGGCCUAAUACAUGCAAGUCGAACGGCAGCACAGUAAGAGCUUGCUCUUACGGGUGGCGAGUGGCGGACGGGUGAGGAAUACAUCGGAAUCUACUUUUUCGUGGGGGAUAACGUAGGGAAACUUACGCUAAUACCGCAUACGACCUACGGGUGAAAGCAGGGGAUCUUCGGACCUUGCGCGAUUGAAUGAGCCGAUGUCGGAUUAGCUAGUUGGCGGGGUAAAGGCCCACCAAGGCGACGAUCCGUAGCUGGUCUGAGAGGAUGAUCAGCCACACUGGAACUGAGACACGGUCCAGACUCCUACGGGAGGCAGCAGUGGGGAAUAUUGGACAAUGGGCGCAAGCCUGAUCCAGCCAUACCGCGUGGGUGAAGAAGGCCUGCGGGUUGUAAAGCCCUUUUGUUGGGAAAGAAAAGCAGCAGGUUAAUACCCCGCUGUUCUGACGGUACCCAAAGAAUAAGCACCGGCUAACUUCGUG
rnacentral:rRNA from 1 species